CCGGCUGCAGCUGGGCGGGGCCGGGUGUGUGUGCGGGGGAGAGGCUAGGGGCGGAGAAAGGACGGAGAGGUAAUCGCAGGUAUGCGGAGCGUGAGUCUGAGCUGUGUGCGCGUUCCAGUUCAGCGAGCAUGUCGUACGCGCAGGUACAGUGUUGGACUUCAGGCUGCGAGAGGCUGUUAGAACCAGAGAUCAUCCCGCCAGGAAGAAGCCCACAGGGUUCUAGCCCGGAACCCUCUGAAGCGCAGAAAGUAGGAAGGUAGUGGACACCUCCACCACCCUUUCUCCCCAGCCUCGGGGUUGCUCUCUCCCUCUGGCCCAGCCGCCACCCAACAGACCGAGGGUGCCUGUCUGACUGUGCGCUGCCUGGGGCACGGGCAUCCCCUCUGAGCUAAUGUUGGGUGAAGGAAUGAAUGAUGGGGAUGGUGACAGCACCCAGGAGCUGACCGUCCCCAUCAGAGCAGCAGCCUCCCACUCCCAUUUCUUGGGAAGACCUGCACACCCAGCGGCCUCUGGGGGAUGCCAGAGGGUGGGGGAAAGUCAACUGGUCACAAGAACAGCCCCGGAGGGACACGAUGGUGGCAGAGGCCUGACUUCACCAAGAACCCUCCCCUCAGGGCCCCUGUGGACAGAGAAUGUUGCUCACCAUCAAGCCUUCUGCCACUGCAGCGCCACCCCCUUCCCCACAGUGGUGCGCCGUGAGGGGAUUCAGGAUGGAGAAGAACCAGAUACUGGCCCUGGAUAGCUGAAGUGCAUAUCCAAGGAACGAUUUCAGUGAGCCCAGACAGCAUCUAGCAUCUUCCCAUACACAGAAAAGCACUGCAAUCAUUAACUAGAGAUGUCAGCUUUUUGUGAUUAGCAGGAACCUUUUGAUGUUUGACUCUAUGGGGUUUUUUUCAGCAAAAACUCCGAGGAACAGUUCCUCAGAGCUAUAUGAGAGGCAAUGUCUUGGGCUACAGUCCUCAGUAAG